AUUGAACGCUGGCGGCAGGCUUAACACAUGCAAGUCGAGCGAGCGGCGGACGGGUGAGUAAUGUCUGGGAAACUGCCUGAUGGAGGGGGAUAACUACUGGAAACGGUAGCUAAUACCGCAUACCAUCAGAUGUGCCCAGAUGGGAUUAGCUAGUAGGGGGGGAAAGGGCUCACCUAGGCGACGAUCCCUACCUGGUCUGAGAGGAUGACCGGCAACACGGGAACUAGGACACGGUCCAGACUCCUACGGGAGGAAGCGGUGGGGAAUAUUGCACAAUGGGGGCAAGCCUGAUGCGGCCAGGCCGGGUGUGUAAAGAGGGCCUUCGGGUUGUAAAGCACUUUCAGCGAGGAGGCGUUACUCACAGAAGAAGCACCGGCUAACUCCGUGCUAGCAGCCGGGGUAAUA
rnacentral:rRNA from 1 species